rnacentral:lncRNA from 1 species
CUCCAUUCCCUCUGCAUGAUUCCUCUAACUAAGCAGACUACUUGCAGGUCUGCACAAAUUCCUAAUGUAAUUAAUUCACACUUUGCCCCUCUCUUUCCUGUAGCCUGAUUCAUGGAACGAAGCCUUUUAUGUCAGACUCCAACUUGUCUUACCUACCCCAGUCUGCAUCACACUCUUCUGUCUUCCAAGCCUUGCUCUGCUUUUCUCUGACACUGUAUAACCUUAACCAAUAAGUAGACGAAGACCAAGAAAGAAAAACAGGCGUGGAAAAUAGAGUGUCAAUACUUGGAGAAACAAGACUAUUACAUUAAUUGAGG